AUUGAACGCUGGCGGCAGGCCUAACACAUGCAAGUCGAACGGAGUGGCGGACGGGUGAGUAAUAUCUGGGAAACUGCCCGAUGGAAGUGGAUAACUACUGGAAACGGUAGCUAAUACCGCGUACUAUCAGAUUAACCUAGGUCGGAUUAGCUAGUUGGUGGGGUAAAGGCCUACCAAGGCUACGCUCCGUAACUGGUCUGAGAGGCUGAUCAGUCACACUGGAACUGAGACACGGUCCAGACUCCUACGGGAGGCAGCAGUGGGGAAUAUUGCACAAUGGGCGAAAGCCUGAUCCAGCCAUGCCGCGUGUGUGAAGAAGGUCUUCGGAUUGUAAAGCACUGUAAGUUGGGAGGCGUUACCAACAGAAUAAGCACCGGCUAACUACGUGCCAGCAGCCGCGGUAAUAC
rnacentral:rRNA from 1 species